UGGAUUCGCUAGUAAUCGCGCAUCAGCCAUGGCGCGGUGAAUACGUUCCCGGGCCUUGUACACACCGCCCGUCAAGCCAUGGGAGUCGGGAGUGCCUGAAGUUCGUGACCGUCACAGGAGCGACCUAAGGCAAGACCGAUGACUGGGGCUAAGUCGUAACAAGGUACC
rnacentral:rRNA from 1 species